rnacentral:rRNA from 1 species
UACAGAGGGGGCAAGCGUUGUUCGGAAUUACUGGGCGUAAAGGGCGCGUAGGCGGCCUUCUAAGUCGAACGUGAAAUCCCCGGGCUCAACCCGGGAACUGCGUCCGAUACUGGAAGGCUUGAAUCCGGGAGAGGGAUGCGGAAUUCCAGGUGUAGCGGUGAAAUGCGUAGAUAUCUGGAGGAAUACCGGUGGCGAAGGCGGCUUUCUGGACACUUACUGACGCUGAGACGCGAAAGCGUGGGGAGCAAACAGG